rnacentral:lncRNA from 1 species
UUCACAUGCAAUGCUUUUACUAGAAUCUCAUUUGUCAGAAUGAAAUAUUGAUAUUAAUGAUGAUGAUAAGAUAUAGAUAAUCCGACAUGUUCAAAAGAAUUGGCAAAAGAAAACUAUUCAGAGCAACAAAACGAUGGCUAGAAACUACAUCAGAGUUGUACAAAAAGUAUGGCAAGUUAUCAAAUCUCAUCCAAUGUGACGUGGAAAAAUGAAAUACGUUUGAUAUACCACAAUCACAGGACCACUCAGUACCACCGAUAAAACCUCAUAUUAUCCUUACUUGAUCUUGAUUGUGUAGGGGGAUUAAGCAACUUAUUUAUCAAAAGUAAUAGGAAUACUCCGUCCAUAUCAAAAGUAAUAUAAAACCUCGUAUUAUCCAACAUGUUCAAAAGAAUUGACAAUUCAGAGCAACAAAACGACAACUAGAAACUGCAUCAGAAAAAGUAUGGCAGCAUUAGUCUAGCAUGCAGUCCUUCGCAGGCAAAUCUCAAUCUGCAGAGCAAAGAGAAAGAUUAGCAAAAUAUAAAUGCAGUGAUUAGAGGCUAAUACUGAGGCUGACACCAAGUGAUUACCUUUGCCCUAUCCAGAUGGCGGUUUUCGGGGCUGCCGUUGAAGCAUGCUAUGUAUGUGACAACCCUGUGGUAUCAAAACCAAAAAGUUGAGUUGGUAUCACUUACAUAUUUUCAAACAAAACAAACAAAACACUUUAUUACCUACCUAUCUUGUGAGCAAAUCCAGUCCUGUUUAAAUUCUCAGCGAGUCUGAUAGCAGUUGGGAUUGAUGCAAAAUUACACAUAACAUAAUUAAUGCACAAGAUCAAUUCAGUAACUUAUAAUAAAAUUCCGUUGAUGAAUAUUAUAUUACCCAUCUCUAAAGCACAUAGUUGAAUCUGGGUGUGAUUAUUUAAGUGUCUCUGCAUCAGCACAAGAUAAAAAGAAUUAAUAUGCUACAAAAAAGCCAUAUAAGAAACAUAAUUAAUGCACAAGAUACCUUCGCCUUAUAUAGGCUGUGUGAAGUUUUUAUCCUUGCAAACGUUGUAUACAGGAAUAAAAACUCAGAUAUUCCUGUGUGAAGUUUUUAUCCUUGCAAACGUUGUACACAGGAAUAAAAACUCGGAUAUUCCUUUGAUACGCUGGAACAUGAAAAAGGGGACAGGGGCAGGCAUAGGACGAGCAUAUUUGCAAACGUUGUACACAUGAAUAAAAACUCGGAUAUUCCUUUGAUACACAGGAACAUGAAAAAGGGGACAGGGGCAGGCACAGGACGAGCAUAUGAGUAGUAGAUGGGGCCAGGAAGAGGGACCGGGACAUUCACCCGAUUCCUCCUCAUCAAAAUUUGAAUCUGCAGAUUAAAUAAAGAAAAUGAGCAAUAUGAAAUUGGGAUUUUCAAAUUGAAACACUAAUACUGACCUUAGCCUUAACCUUAGCCAUGACUAUGACAUAGACCAACAUAAUAGUACUUGUCAAAACUCCUGUUUCAAAACAUCAAAAUUUGAAUUUUGACUGAUCAAAAUUAUGAAUUUUGACUGAUCAAAUUUUGACGUUUUGAAACAGGAGUUUUGACAAGUACUAUCGCGUCAGUCCAUGUCAUCGACAUGGCUAAGGUCAGUAUUAGUGUUUCAAUUUGAAAAUCCCAAUUUCAUAUUGGUCAUUUUCUUUAUUUAAUCUGCAUAUUCAAAUUUUGAUGAGUAACCGGGUGAAUGUCCCGGUCGCUCUUCCUGUUCCUGUCCUUGGCCCCGUCUACUCCUCAUAUGCUCGUCCUGUGCCUGCCCCUGUCCCCUUUUUCAUGUUCCUGUGUACUAGAGGAAUAUCCGAGUUUUUAUUCCAGUGUACAACGUUUGCAAUAAUAAAAAAUUCACACAGAGCCUAUACGAGGCGAAUGUAUCUUGUGCAUUAAUUAUGUUUCUUAUAUGACUUUUUUGUAACAUAUUAAUUCUUUUUAUCUUGUGCUGAUGCAGAGACACUUAAAUAAUCACACCCAGAUCCAACUAUGUGUUUUAGAGAUGGGUAAUAUAAUAAUUAUCAAUAGAAUUUUAUUAUAAGUUACUGAAUUGUAUCUUGUGCAUUAAUUAUGUUAUGUGUUUUGCAACAAUCCCAACUGCUAUCAGACUCACUGAGAAAGAAAGGGGUACCUCACUUUUCUUCAUAGCUAAUCCAAGUUUCUGCAUAACCUCAGAGAUGUGUAUCACUCUCAGAACAGCUGCAACAAUUAAACAACCCAAUAUUAACCAGUUACUUGACAAAUUCGAAUUAAGAAUCAAGAAAUAUCACAUACCUCUCCCCAAAGCCCAAAUGUCAACGUCAAAUCCAUUAUCAAAGUGCAUCUGCAUUAGUGCCAGAGAAGAUUACAUAAGAGUUAUAUCACAUGCACAUGCAUGCAUCACAUGGAAUUAAUGAAAGAUAGUGUCUAGAAUGAAGAUUUAGAGUAUUUUUGACAAGGUGAAAGUGUAAAUUUUAAAUUUAAUCUUAGUUUUGUAUAAUGCUCAUGUAUACUCAAUUAGACUUGGCAGAAAAAACCAUGCAAUGAGAAACCACCCGAGAGACUGAUAAACCUAGCUCAUCUAGGGGUGGUUCAUACAAUUGACAAUUCAAUCGUGUCACGGAAGCUAUGUUGGUUGGCGUACUUAAAAGACUUGAAGCUUUAAAAAUCACAUGUGAACUAAGUCUCAACACCAACACCUUUGUGAAUAAGGUGUAAUUCACCAAGUCAUGUGAUAGAGGAAUGUCCUAGAGUCAUGGCCCAAUCUGAAGAAUCUGAACAUGUCAAUACAAUGUUUCAAAAACUUAGAAAUGACCCAUUUGCUCCCACUUAUAAUCCAGGUUGGAGAAAUUAUCCUAAUUUUGCAUGGAACCAAGGACCCUACCCAAAUAACUCAUCAAAUCUGGUCAAUAAGUCUCUAAAUCAAUAUUUUCAACCUUACCAAAAGUCAAAUCCUAGUCCAUACCAAAAUUUAAAUUAAGCACCUCAAUAUCCACCAGGUGUUUUUCUAAUUAAAGUGAGAAGAGACUUGACACUUUAGAGAAAAGUGUGGAAGCUUUAAUAAAAUCUUAGCAAAACACUAAGUCUUAUCUCGUCUAGAGAUCUAAAUGAGUCACUUGGUUAAUCCAAUUAGUGAAAGAGAGAAGGAUAAGUUUCCUAGUCAACCCGAAACCAAUCCAAAAUUUUCAGUUCAUAAUCAAAAACAUAUCAUGCUAAUUCACUUGAAAACAACCAAGUCAAUCAUGUGAAUUCUGUAUCUUUUUAAGGUCUGGAAAUUAUUUUAACAAUCAUGCUAGCAUUGAUAAUGAAGAGAAAAAUUUAAAUGUGGAAUCUAACAAUCCAUCUUCAACUGAAAAGCCCACAAACUGUGUCAGUAGGCCCCAUCCACUAAGCAUGUGUCAAACAACGAUCAAACCACAUCUUCUGAGUCAGAUGAAAAAGUCUUUAAACCAAAAGCCCCAUUCCCUCAAAAACUUAUUUCAAACAAGCAAUCAGCUCAAUUAAACAAAAUUCUAGAAGUGUUCAAACAAGUGAAAAUUAAUAUUCCUCUUCUAGAUGCCAUUCAAAGUUCCCUCAUAUGCUAAAUGGUCUAAAAGAUUUGUGCACACACAAAAGAACCACUCAUGUUCCUAAGAAAGCUUUUCUAACAGCUCAUGUUAGUUCUAUCUUGGCUUGUCAAGUCCCAAUGAAAUAUAAGGACCCCGGUUGUCCUACCUUUUCAUGCAUCAUAGGUGACGCCUUAAUUGAAAAAGUUUUGUUUGAUUUAGGAGCUAGUGUGAACCGUUUACCAUUUUCUGUGUACCAAACCUUGGGCAUGGGAGAGUUGAAAAAAAACUAGUGACACACUCCAACUAGUUGACUGUUCCGUUAAAGUGCCAAAGGGAAUAGUUGAAGAUGUACGUGUUCCAUGUUGAUUUUGUUGUCCUUGAAACCUAGCCUAUUGUCAAUCCCAAUGAUCAAAUUCCUGUCAUAUUAGGUAGACCAUUUCUAGCAAUCUCUAAUGCAUUAAUCAAUUGUAGAAAUGGAUUAAUGAAAUUGACAUUUGGGAACAUUACAAUUGACUUAAAUGUGUUUAAUAUAGGAAACCAACCUAGUGAUUUUUCUGAUCAACCCGUUGAAAUGAACAUGAUUCAUGAGAUGUCUGAAAAUGAACUUACGGGAGAACAUGAAAUUCUUAACUUUUUUUAAAUCAUUUUGGUCAAAAUUGGGAUGAAACUAAAUGCUUGGAAGAGGUCAAUGAGAUGUAGGACUCCACAACCCAAAAUCUUACUCUAGACAGGAACCUGUAGUUAAAUAAGUUUGGCACAUUUUGAGCAUUUUAAAGAGAAUCACACUGACCUUAAAUUAAACCCUUUUGUGAUCAUUUUAAGUCUACCUUAGGUGCAUCCGAAGCACCUUCCAUAAUCACUAAAUGUGAUUUAACAAAUGAACCAAAGGUUGUGGAUAAUGAGAAUCUUCCAUGUUUAGAUAAUGAGAUCAUAUCUCCCAUUUUAGAUACUGCAUGUGUCAAUCCAAUGGUGUCUAAAAAUCUUGGUAUAACAGUUAUUCAAAAUGAUGAAAAUGUUUUAAUGCCCGAUGGUAACGAAUAUGGAUGGCAAGUUUGGAUAGAUUUUAUUAAGUUGAAAUUCUUAAACAAAAAAUAUUAUUUUCCUUUGUCAUUCAUUGACCCUCUUUUAAAAGGAUCAGUCGGGUAUGCUCAUAAUUGUUCUUCUGAUGCAAAUUAUGACUAUUUCCACUUACCGGGACCUUCUGAAAAUCCUACAAAUCCACUCUAAGUUGUCUGUAUACAUCACUCAUUUACCGUCGCAUAAUUUCAAGAUGUAUAAAAUUUUUAGAUAUGUACAUUUGUUUUCCUUCUCACCACAUUUUCUUAUAAAACAAAUGUCUCACCAUACAAGGUACAAUUUUUUCACAUCUUUGUUCUCUUUUUUUCAUUUGCAUACAUCGAGGACAAUGGAUGAUUUAGGUAUGGAGGAGUUUUACAUUUUUAUUAUUAGAUUUUUUUAUGUAUUUAUUUUUCUUCUUUUUAGGAACUUAAUUCUUUUUGGAAAAAAAAACCAACACAAUUGAAAAUUUGAAAAAAUUAAAAAUUUUGUUCGACUUUUAUGGAAUGAAUUGAUUCUACCAAGUAUCUGUGGGGUAAAACUUAAAGUAGGAUCAAAAGAUUUAGAACUAUUGAACAUUUGAUUAGAUACGAAAUCUUAGUUUGAAACACCAUCUAGAAUAAAAUUGAUUUCAUAAGCAUUUUUGCACUUCACGUUUGCACUAAUUUUUAGUUGUGGGGUAUAAACCUAUGAUUCGAGCAAUUUUCAAGAAAAGAAAUUUAAGAAAUUGAAAAAAAAAAAGUCAAAAAACAAAAUAAUUGCUUCAAUGUCCAUUGAACGAAAUAACUGGGUAUCCAAGCCUCAGGAAGCAUCGAUAUUCACGCUGAAAAGUGUGAUAGAUAUAAGCAGCUUAACUAGUCUAGUUUUGUGGCCUUUGUUACUCGAGUAAGGAAGCCUUUAAGGGUGUCUCUACACCUAGUGCCCUAAAGCCAACUAGUUUGGGAGUCAUUGGUCUAACACUCGCUACAUGGGUUACUCAGGAAAGCCUAAGAAAAAGAGACAUUGCACAAGUCUUAAGAAAAAAAUAAAAAAUAAAAAAUAAAUAAAAAUGAAAAAUGAGUUUACUUCAUUCUCAUGGUAAAAACCCCUACUGAGAGUUAUAUCACAUACACAUGCAUGCAUCACAUGGAAUUAAUGAAGGAUGGUGUCUAGAAUGAAGAUAAGAGUAUUUUUUAUAAGGUGAAAGUUUAAUUUUGAAUUUAAUCUUGUGUAUAAUGCCCAUGCAUACUUGGAAGUUUUCUUUUGAUUUCAUAAUUGGUUAAACUCAAAAAUAUUUUAUUUUGAAUUGUGGGAAUAUUCACUACAAACCCUCACAAGACACAACUCAUCCAUUUGGGGUAACCUUGAGAUUUAAAGGUUUGUAGCACAUGUUAAGUGCAAUCGUAUUUCCUACAAAAUGGGAUAAUAUAGUUUUUAUUUUAUUUUUAUUUUACUCGAGUACGAGCAAAAGGUAGGUAUGGGGGUAUUUGAUAGAUUUAAUAUUCUCAUAUUUAUUAUUUUAUAUGUUUAUUUUAUUUAAUUAAUACAUUUUAUUUUGUUUUGUAGGGAGUGAGAUAUUCAACAAUUGAGAGCUUUUGUCUUUCUUCUUAUUCCAAUCAUGUAAGGUACUAAUGUCCGGGAGUAUUUGUAACUUUCUUUUAUUGAUAUAAUAGAAAUUCUCUUUUUAAUUAUUUUUCUUAUUUCAUGCAAUUAAUAGUAUUAUUUUUUGAUUUCAUGGCUAGCUAAAUUUCUAAUAAUGAAACUAGGUAUUACAUAUUAAUAUUUUCUUUUCGUUACGAAAUUAGUGUAAUUGUUUUCGCCUUCAUAUUUUCCUUCGCACAAAUUGCAUAUGAUUCUUAUAUUGUUUGCGAGGUUUUGAUGAGUUAUAAUUAAUCUGUGAAUUUUUCAUAACUUUAUGUUUGCCCAUAUUAAUUAUAUGAAUAAUUAUUUUUAAAGGGAAGGAAACAAUUUGAUAAUUAAUUUGGAAAAUAAGAAAUUGUUUAUUAUGUUAAUAUUUGGUGGAUUGGGAUUCUUAGGUAUCUGUUCUCAUUAAUAGUUUUUAUUAUUAAUUAUUAGUUUGUAUAAUUUAGUUAAUAAAUCUUCUCCACCAUCUUUGUUUCUAAUUUACCUGAAAUAUUAAUCAAGGAUAUAUUAAAGAAUUGAUUUAGUCUAUGUGGUUCGACCUGCACUUGCCAAAUCUACAAUAGAUAUUGUGCACUUGCAGUUAUUAAAUUUUAUCCAUCAUGUAUUAACAUAUAAUUAAUACUUUCUAUCAAGGUUUUCAAACCUAGACCGGUCAUCAAACCGAAAAAGGUACUGGGUGGAUAGGUAACUAGUCCAACCAAUGGUCGAACCGUUAUUGACCAAGUGAUGUCAAUAAUAUGUAAUAAAUAAUAAAUAAUUAAAUAUAUUAAUUAUUAUUAUAUUAUAUAUUAUAUAUAAUAUAAUAUUUAGUAAAUAUGUAAAAUUAAUCAAUUUAUCUACAAAAAAUAAAACUAAAAAUAUUUGCACAAAGUUUACUUCAUACAAUUCAAAUAAAUACUAAAUCUAUAUGAAAAGAAAGAUUAAAUCACGAUCAUAACUCAAAACUCAGUGAUAAAAUCAAACACAAAUGAAUAUAAACAUCUUUCGGAUAUAUUCAAAUUCGAAAAUUCAACCACAAGUUCGAGUGUUUGAUUAAAUAUGAAUGCAAACAUAUCUAAUAUACCAAGUAAAGUCUCAACUAAAAUACUAAAUUACUAAAAUAAAAUCUAUGACACUUAAUUCACAAAAAGCAUAAAUCAUUCCAACUUCGAGAAGGUGAUGAUUGUUGCCAAUUUAAAGGUUAGUUUCAAACUAAGGAAUCAAACUCUUUGAGCAUACAUUAAAAAAGCUCAUACAUACUCCUCAGAAUCUCAAAAAUGACCAACUAAAAGUUACCAUCCCUUAACCCUUACCUAGCAAAGAGUAAAGACCAUCAGAAGAUUAAACUUUACUGAUAAAUGAUCCACAAAAAUGCGAGAAAAUUAAUAACUUAUAAUUACUAGAAAUCAUGAUCUUAGCAAGGCUAUAUAUUCCAAAUUUUCAAUAGAAAACAGAGGUUGUUCUCAACAAAAAAAGAGUCCCCAAAUCCAAUCGAGCCUGAGGUACUUCUGAAUGCCUUCAAUUCGCUUGAGAAGCCGUCUCUUCUUCGUAAGUUUUCCCCAAACAAGUCUCCUUAAGGAGGCCAGGGUACUCUGCAUAGAUUGAUCAUGUUGUUCCCAGACCCGCCUGACUAAAUUGCCGAAGUCUUCAUGAGAGAACCAGGCAGCUUCCAUUCUAAAAGGUCUUCGAUUGGCAGGUAAUGCUUGAAUAAAGGUUGUUCCACCCAACCUUCAUCUAGUUUUUUUGAAAGGAGCAAAGGCUUUCUUCAACAUUUGUACUGCAUAGAUUGAUCAUGAUGGUGUUUUUCUUGUUUUUAUGAUCAUGACUUCAUUGAACACAUCCGUCAUUCUAUAGUUCGUUCAACUUUUUGGGUGGAAAACAAACUGGGCAUUCUAGGUAACAAGUGAAGAGAGUUUUGCUCAUCAGUCCAUGGUUCAAAAUAUUAGCCUUUGAAAUUUCUAAAAAAAAAACUAAAAAAUUACACCCAUCCUCACAAGGAAACCUAGAAAACAUACGAAAUAUUCAAAAAACUUACAACUUACUGAUUAAAUAAAAAACUUACCGAACUUGGAUCCGAUGAUCUGCCUAAAAAAUGCUUCAAUUACCAAACCUGUUCGCCCAAUUCGAUUUCACUAAUUGCGACCAGCCCCAAUAAGAUUCAAAGAACUAGGGUUUAUGAAAUCGCACCAUGGUUUUUUCCCCAAUUCGAUUUCGGACAAUUUCACAGAAGGCGAUUUCACAAAUUGCAAACAACCCCAACUCGCAACUAGAUUUAACAGCACGCGGGCCCAAGAAAUCGCAUGAAGGUGGAAGAAAUCGCAUGAAAUCGCAGCACAAAUUGCGAACAACCCCAACUCGCAACUCGAUUUCACUGCACGCGGGUUGAAGAAAUCGAAUGAAGGUUGAAGAAAUCGCAUGAAAUCGCAGCAAACAUUGCGAACAACUCCAACUUGCACUCGAUUUCAUUGCACGCGGGUUAAAGAAUUCGAAUGAAGGUUGAAGAAAUCGCAUGAAAAAUGGGCACUAGGGUUUUUAAAGAAAGAGAUGGGAUUUUGGUGAAAUCGACUUAUUAAAAACAUUUUAUAAGUUAUUUUUAAAUAAAUUUUAAAUUAUUAUUUAUUUAUUUUGAUUUAUAAGUUAAAAAAUAAGUUAUUAUUUAACAGUUUAAUAGUGAUAAAUGACUUGUAAAUUAAUUUGUCUAACUUAUAAGUCAUUACAGAACAUGGCCUACAACUUACAAGGAAGUCAGUGACGAAGGAACCAAAAGAGUGUGGAUGUAAGACGGGGAAGGAGAAACGAUUUUUAGGGCAACGGCGCAACGCUAAUUUUAUCACUCUUUAUUCAGGACGGGUGAUCAAUUAGAAUUAUGGUUUCGAGUCGGGUGAUUACUCAUCGUCUUCUCCUAAUCGCAUUUUGAAUCGGGUGAUGGGAAUUUUGGUCAAUUAAAAGAGUAGGUUUAAUUUGGCUAUGUUUCUUUGUAAUGUUAACAAAUUUUCACCAACUUUAGUUAAAUACUAGCAAUUGAACUCGUGCAAAUGUGUCUGUUGUUUUAAUAUUAGUAAAUAAAUUUAGAUAAAAUUAUGAUUUUAAAAAUGUGUAAUAUAAAUAAAAACAUACUGUUUAUAAAUUUAGAUAAUUUGUAUUCUUUAAUACAUCAUAGUUUUGUCAAAUAGAAUAAUAAUGUACAUUAUUUGAUGAGUGUAUGAAUUGAGAGAGUUUAAUUGCGUUUAUAAGAUACUGUUGUCCCCAAGAACGGAUCCAUAAAUUUUUCUCAGCAAAGGCGAAUUUUAACUAAUUUUAAGUGAUUGAGGAAGAACUUGGUCUAUAGGAGUGGAUCCAAAAAAAAUUCUCAACAGGGGGGAUUUUAGUUACUUUAUUUGUUGAAAUUAAAUAAAAAAACUUGAACUAAUCAUUAUAUUAAGGCUUAAAUAUGAAUUAUUACCCUAAACUAUAGGCCAUAUUCCACUUCGGGGAUCAAAGUUUUAAUUUUUUCAAUCAGGUGAUUGAACUAACAAUUUUUUUUAAUUUGUUCAAUUGAGGUUGCCACGUCAGAAAUUCCUGACGUGGCUAUUUCGAUGAGCCAUUGUUCAGCUGAUGUGUAACUAAAAAAAUAUAUUUUAAUGUUUAAUUACACAAUUAUUAUAUAUGAAAGGGUAAAAUUGUCAAACCAACUUAUAUUAUACAUUAAUACUAAUAAAAAACAACAAAAUCUAAAAUCAUUAGCCAAAUAUUGAAGAUCUUCUCCUCCGUAGCCACCAUGGUUAUUAAAAAUUCAUAAAAUUAUUUCUCUCAUAAAAUCACAUCUCUCAUCCAUCUCAUAUCUAUACCAUGUCAGAUCAAAAAAUCAUAAAAUCAUUUCUCUCAUCCAUGGUUAUUAACAGAUUAUUUCUCUAUUCUAUCUCAUCUUUCAUCCAUGGUUAUUUCUUCGAUUUGACCAUGAUUUUGUUCAUCGUUUGAGAUUUGGUGGUGAUGGUUGGGUGCGGUGACGAGUGGAUGGGUAGAGGUCGUCGGCGGUGCAUGCUCGUGACAGUGGCGGAUCUAAUAAUAUGGUGGUAGAUCUGGUAUGAUGGUUUAUCAUGGUGGCGUAAUAUGAUAUUGGUGAUGGUUGUGGCGGUAAGAGUAGUAGAUCUACUAGUGUUAGGUUUACGGUGGCUGUGACAUUUUUUCUUCUCAAAAUCUCUCUUUGGUGGUGACGAUGGGCGACGGAUGGUGGUGAAAAUGGCGGAUGGUGGUGUAUGAUGAUGGAUGGUAAUAAAAGUAGAUGGUGGUGUUGGUGGCGGAUCUAUUAAUAUGGUGGUAGAUCUAGUAUGGUGGAGGUGGUGGCUACGGAAGUAGUGGCUACGGAAGUAGUGGUGGCGGCGGUGAUGGAUUAUGCAGCGGUGUAGGCGGCGAUGGACUGUGAAGAUGGAUAUGGUGAAGGUGGUGGCUACGGAGGAGGAGGUCGUCCGUCGUCGGGAAGAUGGUGGCGGUGGUUAUGGUUGUGGCCGAAGGGAAGGCUGAGGCGGUUAUGGCGGUGGUGGUAAUGGUGAUCCUGAUGGUUUUUACUUUUGAUGUUUUUGAUUAUUAUUAUUAAUGUUUGAUAGAAAACUGUUUGACAAUGUUGCCCUUUCAUAUAUAAUAAUUGUAUAAUUAAACAUUAAAAUAUAUUUUUUUUAGUUACACAUUAGCUAAACAAUGGCCCAUCGAAAUAGCCACGUCAGCGAUUUCUGACGUGGUAGCCUCAAUUGAACAAAUUGAAAAAAAAUUGAUAGUUCAAUCACCUGAUUGAAAAAAUUGAAACUUUGAUCCCCGAAGUGGAAUAUGGCCUAUAGUUUAGGAUAGUAAUUCAUAUUUAAGCCUUAUAUUAACUAAUCAUAAUAAUGUUUACAAAAUGUAAAGUGGUGGUGGAGAAUGGAAAUGUAGAAGCAAUAAUUCUACGCCGACCGGGAAUAGCCGACCGGGGCAGCGACCGGCCAAUUUUUUUUUUUUUUUUUUUAUAAUGUCUCUCAAAUAAUUUAUGUGAUUUAUUGGAACUGGAAUUUUUACAGAAUAAAGCGAUUUGGAUGUCAUUUGGAUACAUGUAAAAAAUAUGUCUGUGCAGUCUGUCCAGACAUAUUUUUUACAUGUAUCCAAAUGACAUCCAAAUCACUUUAUUCUGUAAAAAUUUCAGUUCCAAUAAAUCACAUAAAUUAUUUGAGAGACAUUAUAAAAAAAAAUAAAAAAUAAUAAUAAUUUUGGCCGGUCGCUGCCCCGGUCGCCCAAUCCCGGCCCGCGUAGAAGGACUCAUGUAGAAGUAGUGGCGGAGAAUGAAAAUGUAGAAGUAGUGGCGGAGAAUGAAAAUGUAGAAGUAUCUAGUGGCUAAGCCACUGAGGCAGAGAUAUAGAAGACAAAAGUAGAAUGAAUCUACAUUCGUCUGUACUUGUAUUUAGUAUAUGAAUGAAUUUUUUUGCCCUCUCCAAGUUUAAUUCUUCCAUUAAUCUGCCCCCUUGAAUUUAUUCACUUACAUAAUUGCCCUUACCCCUAUACCUAUAAAAAAAAUCAAGCAGAGGCAGCCGCCUAUGCUACCCCUUAAACAAAUCCGCCCUUGGUUGUCCCCUCGAUUCUAACUAAUUAAUUAAUCAUUUCUUUCUUAAACUAUUAUCACAUAAUAUCCAAAAAAAGAAUAGAUUUUACAUCUCUUAGAAGAACAAAUUAAUGAAUGGACUUAUCUACCAACUGAUCAACUCACCGAAUUUAAAAUAUUAAUUUGUGAAUGAAUGAAUUCAUGUAUCAUGCCGAAUCAACUCACUAGGUUUUCAAAUUAAAAGUUAAUUAAAUAUAUAUUGUGAUUUCAAAUAUUGGGAUUAAUUUAAUUGUUUUGCAUGUUAUAGUUUAGGGGAUUACAUAUUUAGGUAUAUUUUUUGUUAUUUAUUUUAAAUACAAACCUUAAAUAUAAUAUUGAAUUAUCUAAUUUUGAUGUUUGCAUUUUUGACUUAACAUAUUUAAAGAAAGUUAGGUGAAUAUUUGUUUCAAGUUGAGAAAGAACUGUUUUACAAAUAUAUAUAUAUAUAUAUAUAUAUAUAUAUAUAUAUUUAUAAAUCAAAUGAAUCCAAUAUAUUUAUUAACUAGUUAAACAUAUAUUAAAAAAUUAAAUGUCGUAGUUAAAUUUCUUAGGGGAUUUUAAACAAUAUAUUAUAAGAUUAAUUAUUUUUGUUUAGCAGAUGAGACUCAUAACUCUACUUCUCAAGUCUCAAUAUUGUCGGUAGGUGUCUUACGUACUCCAACUUUUCUUUUUUAAUUUGCAUUCUAGAAAAAAAAAUACAAAGAUUUAUAUUUAGUCUUUAUAGAAAAGGUUAUGGAUAUUCUAAAAGUAAAAAUGAUGGACAAAGACCCCCUUCUUUACACAUUUCAUCUACUUUUUUUCAUUGUACAUUCUACAACAAAAAUAUCAAAGUGUGAAGAAUACAAGCAGUGAAUCUCUCUGAGAAAGUUACACUAGCAUAUAUAUGGCUGGACUAAAAAAUAAUGGGCUCAAAUAACGUAAUAGGUCCAUGUAGAGCUUCAUCCCCGACCCCCCUUAAAGGAUUAGUGGUGGGCUAUGGACUUUGGCCUAUCGGCUUCAGUCGUCCGCUACCACCACUAAACCUUUCCUUCGGGUCGCUGCACAAAAUAACUCAGGUUGGUUCAAAAUUCUGAUCCCGAACAAGAAUUCGAGACGCACAAAACACUUUGUUUCUUUCCCCUAAGACUUUAUUUUGCUAGUGUGGAAUGAUUUUUUCAGAAUAAGAACUGGAUUUCGAGGCUACCAUUAUGUCAUCUAUAUAUAAUAGCAGAAAAUGUUACUACGUUGUUCUUGAAGUUGAAGUGGUUGUUUAUAUUUUUAGUUUAUGUGUUGGUAGUGCUUACGCUAACUUGCAUUCCUUUCUUAAAUUUCCAUAAUAUUUUAGAACAGUUGACAUUAUUAUUUUAUCUUGCAUAUUGAGACGUAUCAGCCUAUAAGUAGGUGUGGAACUUUUUAUAAUGUUGAAUACUUUCUUUAAUUUUAUUCUUUUAGAUUCCUAGCUAGUUAUAAGAAGGAAUUGAGUUUGUGGCAGAAACUCAGAUUUAUAUCAGGACCAUACUAGCUCAAGCUUUUGCUUCCUAUGGUGCUGCAUAGUUUCCUUAUGAUUUCACUGACACCUGAAAGUAUUUCUUAUGUCCCAGUUACGUUAUCACUUGAAUUGUAACUUAGAAUUUCAUGUGCAGAUUUUGACAGAUGCAGCUUUGUUAAAGCGUCAAAAAAGAGAGAUUGAGGAGCUUCGGGCUAAAUUGCAGGUUGAGUAUAUGUUAUCAUGAUUUAAUCAAGUUUGUGACUUUUGUUGUGGACUAGCUUUUAAAAUUAUCUUCUUUGUGGUUAAGGGAUCUCACUCAGAACACUUGGAAGAGGAGAUUCUUAAUCUGCGGAACACAUUAUUACAGGUUUACCUGAUCUUCAUUUUCUAUUUUUUCAUAUAAAGAUCAAUAUGUGCAAAUUAAUUAUACAUGUUCCAAUUUAGACUGAACUGGAGAGGGAGCGAAUAGCUUUGGAGCUGGAGGAGGAAAAGAAAGCACAAGCUGAAAGGGAGAAGAGGUUGUAAGAGCAAGCCAAGAAAAUUGAAGAAGACUGAACAUGAAGAGGAAAAAAAAUCAACAAAAUUAACCCAUUCACAAAUUAGGAACACAAUAACAAGCCACAUUUUCAAAAUUCAUAAAGAUCAAUUGAAACUAUAACAGAAACAUAACACAAAAUGACAAAAUAGGUCCAAUUACACAUCUAAACAGCUAAAUCCAUAACCCCAUAACAACUAAAAUAAAUCAUACAUGUGAAAGCUUCUCAUUAAUUUGGGUAGUAGAUGGAAGAUUUUAAAUUACCUGCUUGUUGCUUGUGCAGUUGUGUUAACAAAAGAGAAGUCGUGAGAGACGGUCCGAUGGAAGUCAAAGAUUGGAAAUUUGGAAUCGAUGAGAGAUGAGACUUGAGAGGCAGAAGGGCGGGGCCGCGAGGGAUAGGAGGCGGAGACGGAGUCGGGGAGAGGGCGAGGGCGGAGGCGGAGGCGGAGGCGGAGGCUUUUGUUAGGGCAGAGAGCCAGAGACUGAAUAGAAAUUGUUACGUUAGAAGAUGGAAGAGAUCA